CAACCGUUCCUCCUGCUUCUCAGUCCAGAUGAAUGACUCCAUGCCUCGUGCUGCUGUGACAAAUAGGCUACUACAUCAAAUGGUUCUUCAUCUACAGUGGAUGUGGAAUAUUUAUGAGUUUAAAUGUUGUUUGUUCAUGUUUUAUCAAUAAUAAAAGGCAUUCCUAUA